GACGAACGCUGGCGGCGUGCUUAACACAUGCAAGUCGAACGGAAAGGCCCUGCUUUUGUGGGGUGCUCGAGUGGCGAACGGGUGAGUAACACGUGAGUAACCUGCCCUUGACUUUGGGAUAACUUCAGGAAACUGGGGCUAAUACCGGAUAGGAGCUCCUGCUGCAUGGUGGGGGUUGGAAAGUUUCGGCGGUUGGGGAUGGACUCGCGGCUUAUCAGCUUGUUGGUGGGGUAGUGGCUUACCAAGGCUUUGACGGGUAGCCGGCCUGGGAGGGUGACCGGCCACAUUGGGACUGAGAUACGGCCCAGACUCCUACGGGAGGCAGCAGUGGGGAAUAUUGCACAAUGGGGGGAAGCCUGAUGCAGCAACGCCGCGUGCGGGAUGACGGCCUUCGGGUUGUAAACCGCUUUCGCCUGUGACGAAGCGUGAGUGACGGUAAUGGGUAAAGAAGCACCGGCUAACUACGUG
rnacentral:rRNA from 1 species